rnacentral:rRNA from 1 species
GACGAACGCUGGCGGCGUGCUUAACACAUGCAAGUCGAGCGGAAAGGCCCUUUCGGGGGUACUCGAGCGGCGAACGGGUGAGUAACACGUGAGUAAUCUGCCCCUGGCUUUGGGAUAAACACCGGAAACGGUGAUUAAUACCGGAUACGACCACUUCUCGCAUGGGAUGGUGGUGGAAAGUUUUUCGGCCAGGGAUGUGCUCGCGGCCUAUCAGCUUGAUGGUGAGGUAAUGGCUCACCAUGGCUUCGACGGGUAGCCGGCCUGAGAGGGUGACCGGUCACACUGGGACUGAGACACGGCCCAGACUCCUACGGGAGGCAGCAGUGGGGAAUAUUGGACAAUGGGCGGAAGCCUGAUCCAGCAACGCCGCGUGAGGGAUGACGGCCUUCGGGUUGUAAACCUCUUUCAGCAGGGACGAAGCGCAAGUGACGGUACCUGCAGAAGAAGCACCGGCCAACUACGUGCCAGCCGCCGCAGUAA